rnacentral:sRNA from 1 species
AGGAAGGAGCUGUGCCCUCUGUCCCCUCGUUGAUCCCCAGGGUUGAUUCAGCUGAUCUGACUGGCAUGGUGAGUGUCCCCUCCUGCCU